GUCGAGCGCGGGAAGCGAGCGGAUCCCUUCGGGGUGAAGCUCGUGGAACGAGCGGCGGACGGGUGAGUAACACGUGGGCAACCUGCCUGUAAGACCGGAAUAACCCCGGGAAACCGGGGCUAAUGCCGGGUAAUACUUUUCUUCGCAUGAAGGAAAGUUGAAAGAUGGCUUCUCGCUAUCACUUACAGAUGGGCCCGCGGCGCAUUAGCUAGUUGGUGAGGUAACGGCUCACCAAGGCGACGAUGCGUAGCCGACCUGAGAGGGUGAUCGGCCACACUGGGACUGAGACACGGCCCAGACUCCUACGGGAGGCAGCAGUAGGGAAUCUUCCGCAAUGGACGAAAGUCUGACGGAGCAACGCCGCGUGAACGAUGAAGGUCUUCGGAUCGUAAAGUUCUGUUGUUAGGGAAGAACAAGUACCGUGCGAAUAGAGCGGUACCUUGACGGUACCUAACGAGGAAGCCCCGGCUAACUACGUGCCAGCAGCCGCGGUAAUACGUAGGGGGCAAGCGUUGUCCGGAAUUAUUGGGCGUAAAGCGCGCGCAGGCGGUUCCUUAAGUCUGAUGUGAAAGCCCACGGCUCAACCGUGGAGGGUCAUUGGAAACUGGGGAACUUGAGGACAGAAGAGGAGAGUGGAAUUCCACGUGUAGCGGUGAAAUGCGUAGAUAUGU
rnacentral:rRNA from 1 species